rnacentral:lncRNA from 1 species
CUUGGUUCCUACCUGGACAAGGUGCGGGCUCUGGAGGAGGCCGGGUGAGCUGAAGGUGAAGAUCUGCGACUGGGCCCCGGGGCCCCGGCAAUUACAGCCACUACUUCAAGACCAUUGAAGACCUGCGGGACAAGAUUCUUGGUGUCACCAUUGAGAACUCCCGGAUUGUCUUGCAGAUUGACACCCGCCGCCUGGCUGCAGAUCACUUCCGAACCAAGUCUGAGAUGGAGCAGUCUCUGCGAAGGAGCUUGGAGGCAGACAUCAAGGCCUGCGCAGGGCGCCCGAUGAGCUGACCCCGGCCAGGGCUGACCUGAAGACGCACAUCCAAGGCCUGCAGGAGGAGCUGGAUCACCUGGAGAAGAACCACAACGAGGAAAUCAGUGCUGCGGGUGGCCAGGUCAGUGUGGAGGUGGAUUCUGCUCCAGGCAUUGGUCUUGCCAAGAUCCCGGGCAACACGUGAAGCCAGUAUGCGGUCAUAACUGAGCAGAUGCCCAAGAUGCUGAAGCCUGGUCACCAGCCAGACUGAGGAUCUGAGCUGGGAGGUCGCUGGCCACACGGAGCAGCUCCAGAUGCACAAGUCCGAGUCGCGGACCGGUGGCGUACCCUCCGGGGUCUUGAGAUUGAGCUGCAGUCGCAGCUCAGCAUGAAAACCGCAUUGGAAGACCGUACUGCAGGAACGGAGGCCUGCGUUGAGGCCCAGCUGGUGCGGAUCCAGGCUCUGAGCAGCGGUGCCGAAGUCCAGCUGGGCAAUGUGUGUGCUGACUGCCAGAGGAGGCCUGAGCAGGAGAUCACUGCCGACCGCAUCCUGCUCGAGCGCCAGAAAGAUCCUUACAGCAACCUGCCCACCUGCAAGGUCCGCUGAG